rnacentral:SRP_RNA from 1 species
GCCGGGCACCGUGGCUCGGGCCUGUGAUCCCAGCUCCUGGGGAGGCCGAGGCCGGAGGAUCGCUGGAGCUCAGGGGUUCUGGGCUGCUGUGGGCGGUGCCCAUUGGGUGACCUCACUAAGCUCGGCAUCGAUAUGGUGACCCCUGGGAAGCUUGGGGUCCCCGGGUUGCGUAAGGAGAGGCCCAGGUCAGAAACGGAGCAGGUCAAAUCUCCCCUGCCGAUCCGUAGUGGGAUCGCGCCUGUGAACAGCCCCUGCAGCGUAGCCCGGGCAAGACAGUGGGACCCGGUCUCUU